rnacentral:rRNA from 1 species
UACGGGGGGGCAAGCGUUGUUCGGAAUUACUGGGCGUAAAGCGCACGUAGGCGGAUUUGUAAGUCAGGGGUGAAAUCCCGGGGCUCAACCUCGGAACUGCCUUUGAUACUGCAAAUCUCGAGUCCGGAAGAGGUGAGUGGAAUUCCUAGUGUAGAGGUGAAAUUCGUAGAUAUUAGGAAGAACACCAGUGGCGAAGGCGGCCCGCUGGGCAGUGGCUGACGCUGAGGCGCGACAGCGUGGGGAGCAAACAGG